rnacentral:siRNA from 1 species
UUCUCGCCACCGCCCGUUCACCGU